GCACAAGCGGUGGAGUAUGUGGUUUAAUUCGAAGCAACGCGAAGAACCUUACCAGGUCUUGACAUCCCUGACAACCCGAGAGAUCGGGCGUUCCCCUUCGGGGGACAGGGUGACAGGUGGUGCAUGGUUGUCGUCAGCUCGUGUCGUGAGAUGUUGGGUUAAGUCCCGCAACGAGCGCAACCCUCGACCUUAGUUGCCAGCAUUCAGUUGGGCACUCUAAGGUGACUGCCGGCUAAAAGUCGGAGGAAGUGGGGAUGACGUCAAAUCAUCAUGCCCCUUAUGACCUGGGCUACACACGUGCUACAAUGGGCGGUACAAAGGGUCGCGAACCCGCGAGGGGGAGCCAAUCCCAAAAAGCCGCUCUCAGUUCGGAUUGCAGGCUGCAACUCGCCUGCAUGAAGCCGGAAUCGCUAGUAAUCGCGGAUCAGCAUGCCGCGGUGAAUACGUUCCCGGGCCUU
rnacentral:rRNA from 1 species